ensembl:snRNA LOC120094975 U6 spliceosomal RNA
UUAAAAUUUUUACACAUAUACUAAAAUUGGAAUGAUACAGAGAAGAUUAGCAUGGCCCCUGCACAAGGAUGACACGCAAAUUCAUGAAGCGUUCCAUAUUUUA